GAAUGCUGACAUAAGUAACGAUAAAGCGGGUGAAAAGCCCGCUCGCCGGAAGACCAAGGGUUCCUGUCCAACGUUAAUCGGGGCAGGGUGAGUCGACCCCUAAGGCGAGGCCGAAAGGCGUAGUCGAUGGGAAACGGGUUAAUAUUCCCGUACUUGGUGUUACUGCGAAGGGGGGACGGAGAAGGCUAUGUUGGCCGGGCGACGGUUGUCCCGGUUUAAGCGUGUAGGUGUGUGUUCCAGGUAAAUCCGGUUCACUUUAACACUGAGGCGUGACGACGAGGCACUACGGUGCUGAAGCAACAAAUGCCCUGCUUCCAGGAAAAGCCUCUAAGCAUCAGGUAACAUCAAAUCGUACCCCAAACCGACACAGGUGGUCAGGUAGAGAAUACCAAGGCGCUUGAGAGAACUCGGGUGAAGGAACUAGGCAAAAUGGUGCCGUAACUUCGGGAGAAGGCACGCUGACACGUAGGUGAAGUGAUUUACUCAUGGAGCUGAAGUCAGUCGAAGAUACCAGCUGGCUGCAACUGUUUAUUAAAAACACAGCACUGUGCAAACACGAAAGUGGACGUAUACGGUGUGACGCCUGCCCGGUGCCGGAAGGUUAAUUGAUGGGGUCAGCGCAAGCGAAGCUCCUGAUCGAAGCCCCGGUAAACGGCGGCCGUAACUAUAACGGUCCUAAGGUAGCGAAAUUCCUUGUCGGGUAAGUUCCGACCUGCACGAAUGGCGUAAUGAUGGCCAGGCUGUCUCCACCCGAGACUCAGUGAAAUUGAACUCGCUGUGAAGAUGCAGUGUACCCGCGGCAAGACGGAAAGACCCCGUGAACCUUUACUAUAGCUUGACACUGAACAUUGAGCCUUGAUGUGUAGGAUAGGUGGGAGGCUUUGAAGUGUGGACGCCAGUCUGCAUGGAGCCGACCUUGAAAUACCACCCUUUAAUGUUUGAUGUUCUAACGUGGACCCGUGAUCCGGGUUGCGGACAGUGUCUGGUGGGUAGUUUGACUGGGGCGGUCUCCUCCUAAAGAGUAACGGAGGAGCACGAAGGUUGGCUAAUCCUGGUCGGACAUCAGGAGGUUAGUGCAAUGGCAUAAGCCAGCUUGACUGCGAGCGUGACGGCGCGAGCAGGUGCGAAAGCAGGUCAUAGUGAUCCGGUGGUUCUGAAUGGAAGGGCCAUCGCUCAACGGAUAAAAGGUACUCCGGGGAUAACAGGCUGAUACCGCCCAAGAGUUCAUAUCGACGGCGGUGUUUGGCACCUCGAUGUCGGCUCAUCACAUCCUGGGGCUGAAGUAGGUCCCAAGGGUAUGGCUGUUCGCCAUUUAAAGUGGUACGCGAGCUGGGUUUAGAACGUCGUGAGACAGUUCGGUCCCUAUCUGCCGUGGGCGCUGGAGAACUGAGGGGGGCUGCUCCUAGUACGAGAGGACCGGAGUGGACGCAUCACUGGUGUUCGGGUUGUCAUGCCAAUGGCACUGCCCGGUAGCUAAAUGCGGAAGAGAUAAGUGCUGAAAGCAUCUAAGCACGAAACUUGCCCCGAGAUGAGUUCUCCCUGAGACUUAGAGUCUCCUGAAGGA
rnacentral:rRNA from 1 species